rnacentral:rRNA from 1 species
CUUUUAGAAAAAAAAAUUAAAAGUCGGACCUGCCCACUGAAAAUUUGAAGGGCCGCAGUAUAUUAACUGUGCAAAGGUAGCAUAAUCAUUAGUUUUUUAAUUGAAAACUGGAAUGAAUGGUUUGACGAGAUAUAAGCUGUCUUAUAAUGGAAAUUUGAAUUUUAUUUUUAAGUCAAAAAGCUUAAAUAGAAUUUGGGGACGAGAAGACCCUAUAGAUCUUAAUAUUAAAUAAAAGAAUUGAUUUUUAGGAAAUUUAAAUUAUUUAUUGUGUUUAAUAUUAUGUUGGGGUGACAUGGGAAUAUUUAAAACUUCUUUUAUAAUUAAACUAAAAUAAUAGAAAUGAAUGAUCCUUUAAUAUGGAAAUAAGAUGAAGAUACCUUAGGGAUAACAGCGUAAUUUUAUUAGAAAGUUCAUAUUAAUAAUGAAGUUUGCGACCUCGAUGUUGGAUUAAGAAUAUAAAUUGGUGCAGUGGCUAAUUUAAUAAGUCUGUUC